rnacentral:rRNA from 1 species
GAUGAACGCUGGCGGCGUGCCUAAUACAUGCAAGUCGAGCGAACAGAUGAGGAGCUUGCUCCUCUGACGUUAGCGGCGGACGGGUGAGUAACACGUGGAUAACCUACCUAUAAGACUGGGAUAACUUCGGGAAACCGGAGCUAAUACCGGAUAAUAUAUUGAACCGCAUGGUUCAAUAGUGAAAGACGGUUUUGCUGUCACUUAUAGAUGGAUCCGCGCCGCAUUAGCUAGUUGGUAAGGUAACGGCUUACCAAGGCAACGAUGCGUAGCCGACCUGAGAGGGUGAUCGGCCAAACUGGAACUGAGACAAGGGCCAGGAUCCUACGGGAGGCAGCAGUAGGGAAUCUUCCGCAAUGGGCGAAAGCCUGACGGAGCAAAGCCGCGGGAGGGAUGAAGGGCUUCGGAUCGUAAAACUCUGUUAAUAGGGAAGAACAAAUGUGUAAGUAACUAUGCACGUCUUGACGGUACCUAAUCAGAAAGCCACGGCUAACUACGUG